UUGCUUCAGCAGCACAUAUACUAAAAUUGGAAUGAUACAGAGAAGAUUGACAUGGCCUCUGUGCAAGGAUAACACACAAAUUCAUGAAGUGUUACAUAUUUUU
ensembl:snRNA U6 U6 spliceosomal RNA